UAUCAUGCAUAUGAAGGAGCACUUGAUUAUGUGAGAAAUACAUGGCUGAAUGAUUACAAAGAAAAAUUUAUUGCAGCGUGGACAAAUAAAGUAUUACAUUUUGGCAAUGUUACUACUAACAGGGCUGAGAGCGCACAUGCGAAGCUGAAGAGAUAUCUGGGAUCAUCACAAGUGUCUUACUUACCUUCCAUUGAGAUCAGCUGCACCUUCAGUUAUACAACAUAGAAUUAUUACUAUUGGAUUUGUGGAUGAUUGUCAUUUUGUACAGGUAUUUCUUAAAUCAGGUUCACCAAUUCCUCCUGUUGCACGCAAUUGGCAUAAAUAUCGAUAUGAUAUUGCACGUGAAUGGGA